rnacentral:rRNA from 1 species
UACAGAGGGGGCAAGCGUUGUUCGGAAUUACUGGGCGUAAAGGGCGCGUAGGCGGCCUGUUAAGUCGAACGUGAAAUCCCCGGGCUCAACCCGGGAACUGCGUCCGAUACUGGCAUUCUCGAGUCCGGAAGAGGUGAGUGGAAUUCCGAGUGUAGAGGUGAAAUUCGUAGAUAUUCGGAGGAACACCAGUGGCGAAGGCGGCUCACUGGUCCGGUACUGACGCUGAGGUGCGAAAGCGUGGGGAGCAAACAGG